GUGAAUCAUCGAAUCUUUGAACGCACCUUGCGCUCCCUGGUAUUCCGAGGAGCAUGCCCGUUUGAGUGUCAUGAAAACCCCCUCAACCCCUUCGGUCGCCUCUUGUGCGCCGCUGGGGGUUGGACUUGGACGUCUGCUGCGACUCGCUUCGUGGCUCGUCUCAAACGCAUUAGUCGACUCCGUUGGGUCCCGCCUUUGACGUGAUAGCAUCGUCGUCUGGGGCUUUGGGGCCCUCGCCACUGGAGCGGCUCACCAACGGUCCACUUCGGACAGCUUUCGUUUUUGACCUCAAAUCGGGUAGGACUACCCGCUGAACUUAAGCAUAUCAAUAAGCGGAGGA
rnacentral:misc_RNA from 1 species